rnacentral:lncRNA from 1 species
AUGAUGAAUGGCGAGGGAGAUGCAAUUGUGUUGUUGAAGUUUGGAAAAGAAAAGGGCAAAUGCAAAAAGAAGCCAGCAGAACUAGAGGAGGGAGAGAACGUGCGAGAAGAAUUGGGUGAUGGAAAACCUUGGAAUGGAAACUGGUAUUGGGGUUUGCAGCACUAUCUAGUGUUCUCAGAUGUGCUCUGGAUUUGGAUAGUAAAUGCAACAGGCAGCAUGAUUCUAACUGAGAACGCAAACCUUCAUCCACAAGAUUUUAGCCAAAGAGAAGUCACACAAUUGCAGGCAAUGUCGGAGAAGAGUUGGAAAGACCUCCUAAGAAGCCUGUAGCUGACCUCCUAAGAAGCCUGUAGCUUACCUCAGUCAAUGUUUCAGCGGUAAGAUUCCUGCAAUGACUUCCAAAACAUCCACCCUCCCUACAGAAUUAAGAAAAAAAAAGCAGCAGAAAAGAAUCAUUCUUAAUCCUUAAUAUAAGCACUAUUAAACAUUUAAAUUUCCCUUAUAAAUAUGUCUGUUUUUGUUUUUGUAGCCAGUGUGUGUUUCCUAAUUUUAUCUCAGGAGACAGUUGUCUAAAUCAAUAUUUACUGCAAUGAUUCAGUAUAACCACUAAAUAAGACAUAUCUCUAGAAUCAUAGCGUCUUAAUAUUUUAUUUUAAAAGACGUCAAUUCUAAGAAUUGGGAUACAAGAAAUAUAACCCUGAAAUUGUCCACCCUCAUUUACGCGCACUGGACAAAGUUCAUUACCAUAAAUGAGCUUCUGUAAAGCAACACCAUCACCUGAUUUUUAUCAUUCCUUUUAAUCACAUUAGAUUAACAACAGUGCAGAAACCAUUCACCACUUGUCAUCUAAUAGUAAGAAGAGGAAAAAUACCACCAACAGUAUCCACAUGAUGUAUUCCUUAUGCCACCAACUCUCCAUUAUCUAGGACAGCCUGGGCCUGAGAUACACCAUGGAUGUGAAAACACAGUGGCAGUGCUGUUGCAGACCCAGCAGUCACUCUGGCAUCUCUGUACCGCAUUCCAGUUUCUGCAAGAGCUUGUUAGCCAAGCCGGCUCCUCACAGAUAAGAUACAGAAAUAAGACCAUACCACUGACACAGUCUGCUCACGGCCUGGGUAAUCUUCCCACAGGCUACAGAGCAUGAAUGAUCUUAGCAGUGAGACUCUCAGAAACUUAAAUCUGAAGUCUUAGUGAUCUUGAGAAGGUAUCCUCUUUGUUGACUUGUCUUUUCUCUCUUUCUCUUCCUUCCUUCCUUCCUUCCUUCCUUCCUNNNNNNNNNNNNNNNNNNNNNNNNNNNNNNNNNNNNNNNNNNNNNNNNNNNNNNNNNNNN